rnacentral:rRNA from 1 species
AACGGCCGCGGUAUUUUGACCGUGCAAGGUAGCAUAAUCAUUAGUCUUUUAAUAGGAGGCUGGAAUGAAGGGUUUAACGAGGCAUUAACUGUCUCAUUUUUAUAUUAGAAUUUAACUUUUAAGUUAAAAGGCUUAAAUUUUGUUGGAAGACGAGAAGACCCUAUAGAGCUUUAUAACUAUAUUUUUUAAUACUUUUAUUUUAUGAUUUGUAUUUAUUUAUUUAAUUAUUUUGUUGGGGUGACAAAAAUAUAUGAUUAACUUUUGUUAUUUUAUAAACAUAAAUUUAUGAUUAUUGGAUCCAGUAUUACUGAUCAUUAGUCUAAGUUACCUUAGGGAUAACAGCGUAAUCUUCCCUCAGAGUUCAUAUUUACGGGAAGGCUUGCGACCUCGAUGUUGGA